CUUAUGUCCUAUCGCUAGUAGUUGUGAGUUGUGACAAGCUGUUUGGGUUGCAAACUCAUGGGGUCCACACCCAACUAAGCCCUUCAUUUGUUGCACCAUACCCACCUUGAAACACAUCUCAUUUGCCUCUUUGGUUAUAAAUGGGUGGGCAAAGAGGACAUGAAUUUGCAGAUGGGUGUCUCAAAACCACCAUUUUAAGACCUCCCCUCUCUCACUGCGCUUCUCUCUCUAUCUUCUCUUUGUGGGGGAACUGGCUCCUAGUUGCGGUACGAGGAAGGUGUGUGUUGAGCAAGAUGGAGAAGCAGGGCACGUGCAUUACUAACUGAUGCCAAGCACGCACACUAGCAUCUACAUAUUUCUUGCUGUAGUUAAUAUGACUACUCUAAUUACCUACAAUUAAGCUUAAGAAGGUUUUGCUAGGUUGCGGUGAGUUAGUUCUUCAUGUGCCCCUCUUCCCCAUCAUGACCACUGCAUCUUAUAUAUUUGUUUCGUUGGAGUGAAGGCCACCCAGAAGCUCAUGACUAUAUAUCCCAGAAAUUAUUCUCCGAGAAUUGCUGAAUCGAAGCUCCAAGUUCCGGGGAAAAGUGACGGAUGAUGAACAGACAUAGGCAAAUUGGGUACCACCACCGAGGAGACAAGAGAUAUUACCCUCAUAUGUCUCUAUUCCAUCCUUUUCGCCGUCCACGUUCCAGUGACAACGAUAAAGCCACAGGCCACAAUGGCACAGACACCUCGCUUUCUAAUCCGCGUGAGGUCGAUGGCUCGUCCAAACAUCUCAUGGAUAAUGAAUGGUUCCAAUGGCGGCACGCAACCCCAGUAUGAUAUUACCCAAAUGACAUUGGAGUUUAGCUAAUAAAGCCAUAGCUAGUCAUGACUUCUAGAAAAAGCUGGUCUUCUUACGUUUUAUCUUAUUUUACUGAUGUGAUCACAUGGGUCAUGGGCUAUUCGUCCCUAAUUUUUUUUUUUUUUUUUUAAAUAAUUUUAAUUAUCAGAA